CAGCCAAGACGGACUAUGUCAAUUUCAGGGGGCCGGGUUUCCAUUUAAAGGGAAACCAAAAGAAGAACCGAGCAGGGAUGUUGUGGAGGAGACCUAUUUCACAGGGAUGUUGUGAAGAGCAAUGAAGAGCACAAGAACUAUAUGCACCACCUUGAACAAAAGAAAUGGAGAAGAAGGGAGAAGAUGGAGAAGGAGCAUCUCAUUCCAGCUGUAAUUCUCUGACUUGCAUAUCUGGAGAAAACAAGCUUGCUUUUUUGGCAAUAACAGAGAGCAUACAUCCUCUCUGCCAUCUGGAAGAUGAGAUUUUAUUUCUCUACUCUUGUCAUUGCCAGCACCAUCAUUAGAUCUUUACAGGAAGAGAGACAGAUGGAAAAUGAAGAGAUGGGGCUUAAGUACACAGCAUUGCCAGAUAGAUCUCUUCAAUUCUAUUCCGAGAACUCUGUGUCAAAUAGUUCACAUGCAGCCUGAUCCUUGACAGAUUACUCAGUGCUGCCUUCUUCCUCCCUGCCCUUUUGUUGCUCUAGCUAGCUAGCAUUCAGAGAUGGGGGUGAGAUCAGUUAUCCUGACAAGAAGAACAGAGUUGCUUUGAACUUCCUGAGUAUUUGUUGCAUUCCCCUUAUUGCUGCAUGUGAUAUAAUCAUAAAAAACACUCUGUGAAUGAGUUUUCCUUUUCCUUUCCUGUCCCCUUUCCUUCUGCGUCAAGACUUUUUGAAUUGUAAGCCUGAAGUAGGAGUGGUAAGAGCUUUCAGACUGGAGGGAUUUAAAUGCUUUAUACAUAAAUCACCAAGUAAACAGGCAAGAAGCAGGAGCCAUUGAUUUCUAUAUUGUUUACAAUAUAGUGCAGCAUUCAAAUGUUUUAUAAGACAGAUAACUGCUUAUUAUAACUCACAGAUAAUUCCAAUUUUUUUUUAAUAUCCUGCUAAAUCACACUAUUUGUGCUUUUCUUAAUCUAUUCAUUUAUUGGAUUUUUGCCACUUUAAACUAUUAAGACUCUUCGGUGGGUCAGAA